AUUGAACGCUGGCGGCAGGCCUAACACAUGCAAGUCGAACGAGUGGCGGACGGGUGAGUAAUGUCUGGGAAACUGCCUGAUGGAGGGGGAUAACUACUGGAAACGGUAGCUAAUACCGCAUACCAUCGGAUGUGCCCAGCGGGGAUUAGCUAGUAGGUGGGGUAAAGGCUCACCUAGGCGACGAUCCCUAGCUGGUCUGAGAGGAUGACCAGCCCAACUGGAACUGAGACACGGUCCAGACUCCUACGGGAGGCAGCAGUGGGGAAUAGUGCACAAUGGGCUCAAUCCUGAUGCAGCCAUGCCGCGUGUAUGAAGAAGGCCUUCGGGUUGUAAAGUACUUUCAGCGGGGAGGCGUUACCCGCAGAAGAAGCACCGGCUAACUCCGUGUCAGCAGCCGCGGUAAUUC
rnacentral:rRNA from 1 species